rnacentral:lncRNA from 1 species
ACGAGAACACUGAAAUGCUGCCAAGGCAGAGAUGAGUGAAGACAACGAGAUGUGCGCGGACAACAUUGGACACAUACAUUCUGGCCUCAAUUUUUGUAUGAUCCCAGUUUUGAAGUGCUGGACAGGAAGACCUUGAAAGGGCUGCCCGACUGCAAGAAGAGGCUGGCCGAGAUGAAGGCUAAAUUGCAAGAACUUUCCUUUGAAGAAAGGGGAGAUGUGCUGGAGCUGGCUGCUUUUCAUCUACCUGCCUGGAGUGAUUUUUGACAUCAUGGAGUACCGGAGAGCUAUCUCAGGGUCUCCUGACAACCUCGCUGGUGCACCUGCAUGAAUUGCAGGGAGACUCCUGCACCUUACAAUACACAACUGCUGCCAUUUCACCACUGUAAUAUUCAAAUUAUUUAUUAGCAAGUACGUUUACAUAACAGGUUAACACUUUCCACAACUACACUGUACUUUAUUCUUCAUUUAGAUCCCAAUUAGGAAAAAUACUCAAUUUAGUGAUAUUUUUGUAAGUCGAUUUUUGUGUGAAUUUUUCCUUGGUCUGGGUGAUAUCAGUUGAGUACUUUAUCAGAAUGUUUCUCACCAAAGCAUGUGAGCGGAGUUGAGCGGUUUGAAAUCCCACUCAUCGCUCAUGGAGCGGUUUCGCACUGCUCCAGCCCUCCAUUUCCUUUCCAACCACUCCGCUAAAGACUGCUCUGCACUCACAGGAAAAUAAAAAACUCAUCAUGCAAAUCUUUUUCACAACCGAGAGGACAACUAACACUUACAUCUUGUUGCACAACGCAUUCGCCAAUACUGGACGAUGGUUACAAAGGUUGUAGUCAAGUGCUGCCAGUAGGGUUCCAGCCUCAUUGACUGGAGACGGAAAAGCAAACCACGUAUGUGAGUAUUUGAUUCUGGAAGGACUCCAGCUCAGAUGUAGACCUAGAUCAGGAUUGGUCUACUCCAGUCCUCGGGGCCUGAUUGGUAUCACACUUUCCCCCAGUCCUAAAACUAUCACUGCUGAUUAAACUAAUUGCAUUCUACACUGAAGACCAUGAUUAGUUGAUUAUUGGAGUCAUGUGUUAGCUGGGGCUGGGGCAAAAGUGUGUCACCAAUCAAGCCCCCAAGGAGUUGACCAUCCCUGACCUAGAUCAGAGAUAAAACUAGCUAGUUUUAAAAGGUUGUGUUGUACAACAGCUGACUAAAGAUGGGGCAUUCAGAUCAAGAACAUGAGAUGUGAAGCUGAGAACGUUUCCACGGUAACGGUGCCACUUCACAAUUCCAUUAUGAAACUUUGAAACAGAGUUGCCACUUGUUGUAGCAAACAAGUGUCAUGAAAUACAUGCAUCAGAAACAGGGUACAGUUUUUGACUGAAAUGUCAGCAAGCCAGGCUACCUAUGUACAGCAAAAUAGCUAGCUAGCCCUCUUCUUGGCUAGUUAACUAGCUGCUUAGCUGAACACAGAAUGUUAGUGAACUGUUAUUUGAAUGGCUAAAUGGAUCCUUCUCGUCGCAAGAUUGUGGCUAAAGCUGACAUGUUAAAUCUUGAAUACUCCAACCAACGACAUGAGACGUUCUAAAGCGGGACCGUUCGGAUCAAACGAACCGUUCCGUCGUGUCUCGUCUUAAGUAUCUGAAUCUCAUCAACUCCUUUAGUUCUCUCCACUAUAUGAACGCAAAUCUGAGGUUUACUCUCGUCUUGGCCCGGGCUCUAUUGCCCUUCGCGUCCGCCAUAUCGCUAAGCGAGCUAUCGCCUUUACACGUUGGCCAUGAGCUCAGCUAGCUAGCUAUCACACCGCUUCCUCACUGACGGAAAACAUGUCACUCAUUGUGCGCUCCAGAAAAUCUGGCGGGAAAAUCCAACCUGACAGGGAUAAUGAAUACAGUGGUUCACAGGCAGGCUAGAGGCGCAAUAUUGUUACUGUUGCAUAACAUUGGAUGACUAGUGACUUAUUGGAGCUUUUGAACAUAGAAAAACAAUGAAAAGUUACAUAUUGCAGCUUUACAUUUUUAUGCUGUAUCUAGCAAAAUACUGCCAUUUCUGAAAGAGUUGGCAAACUGUUGUGGACCUGUCAGCAGAACGUUUGAAUUCACAAAUGUUUUGCGUCGACUUUCCCCCCAACCUAUAUAUGAUGGACUGCCCACGAAUUCUGAAACAUUAUCUAGGGCAGGCUACGCAUUUUUGUUGCUGUUGCAAUUACAGUACAUACAGUAGCAUACAUAGGCCUAUUUCAAUGUAAAAGUUAAACUGUUCACAUGCUAAAUUCGACUGUAUUAUAAACCACGCUGCAUAUGGGAUUGCAAAACUUAAAAUACAUACAGCAAUCUAUUUACUACGCUACUUUGGGAAUAUGAACCCAUCGUGGCCAGAAAAAGUUUGGAAUUUAUUCUGCAAUGGUUAUGAAAAUAAAAUAAAUAGGAAAAAUAUUCCUAUGAUCCUAUGUACACAUGACCUUUGUUUUGGAGGUGUUCAGAACAAGGUUAAGGGUAGAGAAAGCUUGUUGGACACUAAGAAAGCUUUGUUGUAGAGCAUUUAACACAAAAUCCGGGGAGGGGCCAGCUGAGUAUAAGACUGUAUCA